AUACUUAAACUUUUUUGCCUUCUCUACCUUGUAGUAUUAGCUUAAAAAUCAGUUAAUAUCUGAUAUGUCCCUUAUUUGGGGACCAUAUAUGAAAUUGUAUUUUGGAACGGGGAGAUGGAAUAGGGGCUUGCUCUGUCCCCUGCACGCAUCAACCUAGUAAUGCAGUAUCUCCAGGAAGGGUGCACUUCUC